AUCAACGCUGGCGGCGUGCCUAACACAUGCAAGUCGAACGAGAAAAUCCCCGCAAGGGGAUGAGUACAGUGGCGAACGGGUGAGUAACACGUGACUACCUGCCCUGGAGUGUGGGAUAACCCCGGGAAAACCGGGGCUAAUACCGCAUAACACCGAGAGGUCAAAGGAGCAAUCCGCUCUUGGAGGGGGGUCGCGGCUGAUUAGCUAGUUGGUAGGGUUAAUGGCCUACCAAGGCGAUGAUCAGUAGCCGGGCCUGAGAGGGCGCACGGCCACACUGGAACUGAAACACGGUCCAGACUCCUACGGGAGGCAGCAGUGGGGAAUUUUGCGCAAUGGGGGAAAACCCUGACGCAGCAACGCCGCGUGGAGGAUGAAGUUCCUUGGAACGUAAACUCCUUUCGAGCGGGACGAUGAUGACGGUACCGCUAGAAAGAAGCCCCAGCUAACUCCGUGCCAGCAGCCGCGGUAAUACGGAGGGGGCGAGCGUUGUCCGAAGUUACUGGGCGUAAAGCGCGCGUAGGCGGGGAGGUAAGUCCGCUGUGAAAGCCCGAGGCUCAACCUCGGAGGGUCGGUGGAUACUGCUUCUCUUGAAGCGGCUAGGGGGGAGAUGGAAUUACCGGUGUAGCGGUGAAAUGCGUAGAUAUCGGUAGGAACACCAGUGGCGAAGGCGGUCUCCUGGGGUUGUCUUGACGCUGAGGCGCGAAAGCUGGGGGAGCGAACGGGAUUAGAUACCCCGGUAGUCCCAGCCCUAAACGAUGGAUACUAGGUGUCGGGGGUAUCGACCCCCCCGGUGCCGCCGCUAACGCAGUAAGUAUCCCGCCUGGGGAGUACGGCCGCAAGGUUGAAACUCAAAGGAAUUGACGGGGGCCCGCACAAGCGGUGGAGCAUGUUGUUUAAUACGUCACUAACCGUAGAACCUUACCAGGGUUUGACAUGUGCCGACAUUCCAUGAAAGUGGACUUUCCCGCGAGGGAACGGCAACACAGGUGUUGCAUGGCUGUCGUCAGCUCGUGUCGUGAGAUGUUGGGUUAAGUCCCGCAACGAGCGCAACCCUCAUCCCAUGUUUGCCAGCGGGUAAAGCCGGGAACUCUUGGGAAACUGCCGGGGUAACUCGGAGGAAGGUGAGGAUGACGUCAAGUCAGCAUGGCCCUUACAUCCUGGGCUACAAACAUGCUACAAUGGACGGUACACAGACCGACCCGAGACCGUGAGGUGGAGGCAAUCGGAAAAAUCCGUUCUCAGUUCGGAUCGCAGGCUGCAACUCGCCUGCGUGAAGCCGGAAUCGCUAGUAACCGCAGGUCAGCGAAAACUGCGGUGAAUACGUUCCCGGGCCUUGUACACACCGCCCGUCACGUCACCUGAGUUGUCUGCACCCGAAGCCGGUGGGGUAACCGCAAGGAGCCAGCCGUCGAAGGUGUGGGGAGCGAGGGGGACG
rnacentral:rRNA from 1 species